UACGUAGGGGGCUAGCGUUGUCCGGAAUCAUUGGGCGUAAAGAGCGUGUAGGCGGCCCGGUAAGUCCGCUGUGAAAGUCGGGGGCUCAACCCUCGGAUGCCGGUGGAUACUGUCGGGCUCGAGUACGGAAGAGGCGAGUGGAAUUCCUGGUGUAGCGGUGAAAUGCGCAGAUAUCAGGAGGAACACCUAUUGCGAAGGCAGCUCGCUGGGACGUUACUGACGCUGAGGAGCGAAAGCGUGGGGAGCGAACAGG
rnacentral:rRNA from 1 species